rnacentral:sRNA from 1 species
UCCUGAGAGUUAUUUAUUUGUUUCUUUAUUUUUUUUGGAACUAAUGGUACAUUUAUUUGAGAUCCUUUGUAAUACACUGGUAUUGUGGUAGUAUUAUAUAAAUUUUGUUGUUG